rnacentral:tRNA from 1 species
GCACCGAUAGCUCAAUUAGGAUAGAGUACCCGGCUUCGAACCGGGUGGUUAGAGGUUCGAGUCCUCUUCGGUGCA